GUCCAUCAUUCAGUUGGGCGACUCUAGCGAGACUGCCGGUAAGUAAACCGGAGGAAGGUGGGGAUGACGUCAAAUCAUCAUGCCCCUUAUGACCUGGGCUACACACGUGCUACAAUGGUUGGUACAACGAGUUGCGAGUCGGUGACGGCGAGCUAAUCUCUUAAAGCCAAUCUCAGUUCGGAUUGUAGGCUGCAACUCGCCUACAUGGAGUCGGAAUCGCUAGUAAUCGCGGAUCAGCACGCCGCGGUGAAUACGUUCCCGGGCCUU
rnacentral:rRNA from 1 species